AGAGCCUGUUCCUGAUAGCCAGCCUGAACGUCUUCUGCCCAAAGCACACUUUUGUCAUCGUUUUCUAACUCAUCCUGGUGGGUGCCGGGGCGCUGCUGAGGGCUGUGACCGACCGUCACAGGGAUGCAGACAUCUCUGAAAGCCGGGUCCCUCCUGUGUGGUGUCCAGCUUCUUCCCUGAAGGUUUCACAUCAUACUCACAAGAGAGAAGACAGGCACUGGCGCUGAAGGAGGUGGCAGCGCAGGGUGAGGAGCGGCACAGCAGCGGGGAAGGAUGUGGCCGAGGAGCAGAGCUGAGCAGCGGGCAGGAGGAGAUGCCGCGAGCUUUGCAGGGCGCUCAGCUGUCUGCCCGGGAGGAGCGCCACCUCCUCCACGCGCUGCGGAGCCUGGAGAAGAGCUGCCUCAAGUCUCCUCGUGGUGGACGUGGCCUCCUUUCCUGCAGGAUCUUGAGUAUCUGAAGGGCCAGCGAGGAGACGGAUGGAGUGGGGUCUCGCUGUGCUCUCCGAAGGCCUGAGAGACAGAGCGGCUCAAUGGCAGCCAUGUACCCGCAGGGCGCCCAGCUCUUCCCUCCGGC